UACGUAGGGUGCAAGCGUUAAUCGGAAUUACUGGGCGUAAAGCGUGCGCAGGCGGUUAUGUAAGACAGAUGUGAAAGCCCCGGGCUCAACCUGGGAAUUGCAUUUGAGACUGCGUAGCUAGGGUGCGGAAGAGGGAAGCGGAAUUUCCGGUGUAGCGGUGAAAUGCGUAGAUAUCGGAAGGAACACCAGUGGCGAAAGCGGCUUCCUGGUCCAGCACCGACGUCAGGCACGAAAGCGUGGGGAGCAAACAGG
rnacentral:rRNA from 1 species